rnacentral:tRNA from 1 species
GCAAUGAUGGUUUAGUGGUAUAAUUAUCGCCUGCCACGCGGUAGUCCCGGGUUGAUUCCCGGUCAUUGCA